ensembl:lncRNA
GAAAGAGGGAGGGGCUGAACCUGCUGCCCUCCCUUGCUCCUCCCUCUGGUUUCUGGCAGCUUUUCUGCACACACAUCAUCCUCUGCUGUGAUUCUGCAGAUGAAGAAAACAGAGGAACAAAACCGUCCCUGUGAUGGGUAUAGAGAGGCCCACUCCUUCAAAGGAUUUUCUCCCCAGCUGCCUUCACCUCUUCAGUAAAGUUUGGCACAGAAGAGCCUCACAUUCCGGAUGUGUGUAAACCACCAGGGGCUGCCUGAGCAGAGAACAGGAACUAGUAAAGGCAAGAAGUCAGAGUUAACGGGGCCAUGAGGCAGCCGGCUCCAAAUUCACCUCAUCCCCACCUGCCACCAGGCCUGGAGGAAUUUGCAGAAACGUUCAGGAGAUUAUUAGAUUUUCCACAGGCCUGGAAAGAGAUUGGAGCCUAAUUUGUUUAUAUCUCUGGGACUAGGGAGAUUCCAGAUGGCAGCUGAGAUGCACGUGCAGGACAAGAGCUUUAUUAAGAUAAAUCAAAAUAAUAAAGGCAGCUCUUUGGGAGAAGGAAGUAGGAAAAUGGGUCAUUUGUAUUUUCUUUUUUUGUGUGUGUUUUUUUCUGGGUUUUUAAGAUUCCUACAAUAAAAUCGUGUUACCUCUGUAAUCCGAGAGA